rnacentral:lncRNA from 1 species
CUCUUUCUGGAGAUUUCUCUCUUGUGGUGUUUCCCUCUGAGUCUGCAUCUUCAGAGAUGGAAUAAUGUUACCUUGUUCAUGAAGUUCAUUUCAUCCUGGAGAGCUCUAACAGCAGUGUACAAGAGUCACUUCAUCCCCUCAAAUUGAAGUCAAUUGAACAACUACCUUGUGGCUUUCUGAAAGACAGAAGUUGCUUGAGAGAGCCAACAGCAUGUGACUGAAAAGGAUUAAGAAUAGAAUAUGCAACUGUAGCUGCAUAUGACAAAUAAACUGCAAGUGACAGAAACUGGGACUCAGUAAGGGAAGAAGUUCAUUUAGUCAUCUGAAAGAUGGCAACGCUGCUCUUAGGAAAUUGCUAACUUUAUGAAUCUUGGAACUAGGUUUUACAUCUUAUCUGAAACAUAAUUUAUCAGCAUGAAGUUAAGGCAUUGUUUUACUAGCUGAAAUGGAAGCGAGUCAUUUUUGUAAAUCUGAUGUCAUGUCAUUCACUUAAUUUUUUUUUGCUGAAUUUCAUGUAUCAGUCCUGAUGAUAAAGCAAGGUUCAUUUGGUGGGGGGAUUCAAUAGGUCACCUAAUUCUGAACCUUAAUUCAAGGUCAGUAUUAUGAUUUGAGUGUACCCACCAUUCCAGAGAGGCAUUUGAUUAACUGUAUUUGUUAAAAUCCAUCAAGGGAUGGAGGUUCCACAGUGCUGCAUGCUAAUAAUUAGAACUGCUGAUGUCCAAACUACGUUUCCCUGUCAAACUUCCUUACAGAGUUUCCUAUUUCAGUGUGUAUGAACCCUCUGAUGCACAUCAAUGAAUGUCAUGCCUGUAGAAGUAUCCCAGGCAUAAAGUGUGUGAGCUGUGCUGUUGGUCAAAGAACGCUUUAAAAACCUGAUGUUAUGGAGAAUAUCACUUUUUAUACAGUACUGAGCCAUAUUGAGUUGCUUCUUUUUCCUACUUUGCUCCAAGCAAUAAUAAACAUACCACAAGAAAUUACAUUUGUUCUUUGAGAAAUUUAACUGAAAGUUUAGUUUGUUUCAAUAUCGAGUACUGGUAUUAGGAAAGAAGUAUUAUAGUUGCUAUCUUAAACAUAACAUCAAAUCUUGUGUUAGUGGAGAAUGAAAAUAAGUUCCACUGAUACAUGAAUUUGAAAACUUUAUCAACAGUGUACAUGAGAUCUUUCUCAUCUUGAAAAAAAAUUAGUAAUACCAAUCUGGGCUGUGGGCCAAUCAGCCUCCCUUCAGGCUCUAUGAUUUUUUUGGAGGUUGAUAUAGUCCUGAUGGAAGCUGUUUCUGAGCAUGGCAAGUACAAGAAGGUUAUCUGGAGGAAGUUAGCACAGUUUUCCUAGGGACAAGUUGUGCCCAGCGAGCCUGAUUGCUUUCUCUGAUCCAAUGACUGAUAUUGUGGAUGAAGGGAAAGAAGUUCAUGCAGUUUGAAUGUGUAUGUCAUUGAGCAUGGCUUUCUAUAUACUGUCCAUAGCAUCCUGCUAGUCAAACUGAAGAGACUGAUGCUGGAGAUGGACUAUAAGAUAAGUGAUGGCACAAGGAAAUGUGGAUGAAAGUAUCAAGGAAGUGUUUGACCCAUGACAGAAAGAUAUAUCUUUUUAAGAAAUGAUUACUAAUACCUGUCCUUUACUUUCUGUCUACCAUGGCAGAGAGAGAUUGUGAAUAUAAAGACAGCUGAGGGCUUGACUUCAUCAGAAAAGUCAAUUGAUUAUCAUUAUAAAAGUUAUAUAGUUGUAUAUAAUCAUCUCAUACACUGUGUGUAUAAUAUAUUUACAUUGUAUUUUGUUUCAUCUGGUAUGUUCACAAAGAACAGUUUAUUGUGUUUCUCUUUAAAACUACUUUUUGAUGAAGUAGCUGAUGAAUGUGUCAUAAAAGGUCUUAUACUGUAUCUUGAACUUUUACUGUGUGUUGGAUAGCAACAGAAACUCAGGUUUGGAAAUGCACCUUCUAUGAAAAUAAAAUCAAAAUAAUAUUU